GCUGGGCACAGUGGUGAAUGCCUGUAAUCCCAAUGGCUCAGGAGGCUGAGGCAGGAGGAUCACAAGUUUAAGGCCACUUUGGGUAAUUUAGCAAGGCCCUCAACAACUUUUCGAGAACCUAUCUCAA
rnacentral:sRNA from 1 species